rnacentral:rRNA from 1 species
CUGGCGGCAGGCCUAACACAUGCAAGUCGAGCGGCAGCGGGAAGUAGUUUACUACUUCGCCGGCGAGCGGCGGACGGGUGAGUAAUGUCUGGGAAACUGCCUGAUGGAGGGGGAUAACUACUGGAAACGGUAGCUAAUACCGCAUGACCUCGCAAGAGCAAAGUGGGGGACCUUAGGGCCUCACGCCAUCGGAUGUGCCCAGAUGGGAUUAGCUAGUAGGUGGGGUAAUGGCUCACCUAGGCGACGAUCCCUAGCUGGUCUGAGAGGAUGACCAGCCACACUGGAACUGAGACACGGUCCAGACUCCUACGGGAGGCAGCAGUGGGGAAUAUUGCACAAUGGGCGCAAGCCUGAUGCAGCCAUGCCGCGUGUGUGAAGAAGGCCUUCGGGUUGUAAAGCACUUUCAGCGAGGAGGAAGGCAAUCGUGUUAAUAGCACGGUUGAUUGACGUUACUCGCAGAAGAAGC